rnacentral:rRNA from 1 species
GACGAACCGUGCGAACGUUGUUCGGAAUCACUGGGCUUAAAGGGCGCGUAGGCGGGCGGCCAAGUCAGGGGUGAAAGCCCCCAGCUCAACUGGGGAAGUGCCUUUGAUACUGGUCGUCUCGAGGGAGGUAGGGGCGUGCGGAACUUCCGGUGGAGCGGUGAAAUGCGUAGAUAUCGGAAGGAACGCCGGUGGCGAAGGCGGCGCGCUGGACCUCUUCUGACGCUGAGGCGCGAAAGCUAGGGGAGCAAACGGG